CGGAGUUCAGUCUUCCCAGGCCCACCAUUUUGAUCGAGUGCGGAGCAUUCGUCUUCUGGUACGGGGCCAUAGCUCAGCUGGGAGAGCGCGUGCUUUGCAAGCAUGAGGUCGUCGGUUCGAUCCCGUCUGGCUCCACCAGAUGGUUUGAUCACCAACGGCGUCACCGUCGUCCGCGAAACAUCACUUCGCACUCAUUGGUCCGGAUGGACGGUGACGUGCGUGUUUUCUGACAUCGUAAAGAGGAGAUCGAUCCGAGUUUGGAUCAAGCGAAGCAAUUCGCCUGAGCCAUUCAUUAUCUCCGGGAUCAUUUCGGCGCUCGCUUUCAAUCGUGAGAUUGGAUGCGGGUUGUAAAUGAUCCCUUUUAGCGAAGCUUGACCGCCUCGCUAUCGGGCCGAUCUUACGAAGCAAGCUGGUCUUUCUAGUCAAUGUCCGGCUGCGCAAUCGCAUUCAUCGAGGAUGCGCGCCUUCAGUGGCAAUUGUGCAGACAACAUUCUGCCGAGUGUGUGGACAUUGAUAAUGAGAGCAAUCAAGUGCCUUAAGGGUGUUCGGUGGAUGCCUUGGCGCUGAGAGGCGAUGAAGGACGUGCUAC
rnacentral:tRNA from 1 species